CAACUUCUAUGUCGCCCGCAAGCUUCACCUUCUUUUCUUCUAAUGAUCUAGCCUUUUGUUUCUGAUGUUUGCUUUCUGUAACUGUGGUGUUGCCAGCUCUCUUCUCUUCUAAUGUAGCAGGUAUUGUAGUAUCACUGGAGUUUGUAAGAUUUCCUGCUACUACAAUGGUAGGUGUUGUGUGUGCUUUGUUUGUUUGUUCUGGAGUUCUCUUACUGCUUGGAUCCUUUCUGCCCUGGAACCUGGUCUUGAUCUCUUCGAGCUCGGCUUCCUUCCGCUGCAGGAUUUCCAUAAGAGCUGCCAUUUGGUCAUGGUUUGACUCCGCGGUGGCUUUCUCCUCCAGUAGUUUGAUGCGGAUGUCUUUUUCUUUGAGAGAUACUUCCUGUUCUUUCUGAGUUUUCUGAAGAUUUGUGGCUUUCUCUUCCAUUUGUUUGAUGCGUCUGUCUCUUUCCUUGAGAGACGUUUCCAGUUCUUUUCGGGUGCUGUGAAGAUCUGAGGCUGUCUCUUCCAUUUGGCUGAUGCGGCUGUCUUUCUCUUUGAGAGAUGAUUCGAGUUCUUUCUGCGUGGUCUUAAGCACAUAUUGGUUUAGGAGAUAUCAAAUGGCACACAUAAGAUUGGAAACAAUGAGCAAGAUUUUUGCAUUUUGAGAGCAUGCAUAUUCCACAAGAAAGAAAAAGGGGUUAGCAGCUGUUGCUAAAGAACCAUUGUUCUUGCAUCACCUUGUCUCCAUGGUCUAAAAACGGACAAGAAAAAGGAACUGGAGGACAUGAACCAUGGCCAUACCUGGAGGAGGGCUCGAAGGGAGAUGAUCUUCCCAUCACGUUCCUGGAUAAGAACAGCGAAAACGCGCUGCUCCCUCACCUUGUGCAUGACGACGACGCUCAGCCCCGCAGCGGUGAGGAACACCAGAAGCAGCAGCAAGUACGGGAGCCUCUUGGCGGCGCUGCUGGCCAUCCCGUAGCCUUUUGGAUCUUGCUUGGUGCAGCAAUGCGGAGGAAACUAAUGGAGCUGCAGGUGCAGGGAAGAAGUGACUGCUGAGUGUCGACUAGCAAAUGUAGAGAUUACACAAGCUCUGGGCUGUUUAUCGUGGAUCGGACGGUUGUGAGGAGAAGCUGUUUUCGUGGAUCAUCAUGAAUGUAAAACCGACGGUAUCUGCGAUCUCCAGGCAACAAUCACCUCAAGAUGAGUAAUGUAUUCAUGGAGCAGCUGCAAGGGUUAGUGCUCCACCAUGCAGGCAGGGCAACGAGUAUCUUUGACCUAGGCAAGCUCCAUCAAAGGACGAGAGAGAUCUCGUUAACAAUGGUUGAGAAAACAUAUGCUACCACUCCCAAGUCCAGAUGGAGCUGCCACCAAUGCAAACACAGAUUUGAAUUUGCAGGGUCGAUUAACAGUUGGAUAGCUGCUUAAAAAAGGAGUAUUUAGGAAAAGGCCCAGUAUAAGAGGAAGAGUUGAAUACAAUAUGUAGAGUGCGUCCC